UACGGGGGGUGCAAGCGUUAUCCGGAUUCACUGGGUUUAAAGGGUGUGUAGGCGGGUAUUUAAGUCAGUGGUGAAAUCUCCGGGCUCAACCCGGAAACUGCCAUUGAUACUAUUAUCUUGAAUCUUGUUGAGGUAGGCGGAAUAUAUCAUGUAGCGGUGAAAUGCUUAGAUAUGAUAUAGAACACCGAUUGCGAAGGCAGCUUACUAAACAGGCAUUGACGCUGAGGCACGAAAGCGUGGGGAUCAAACAGG
rnacentral:rRNA from 1 species